rnacentral:tRNA from 1 species
AGAGUAAAAGCUCAGUGGUAGAGCACAUGCUUAGCAAGCAUAAGGUCCUGGGUUCAAUCCCCAGUACCUCCA